rnacentral:rRNA from 1 species
UGCAGUCGACGGUGACACGGAGCUUGCUCUGUGGGAUCAGUGGCGAACGGGUGAGUAACACGUGAGCAACCUGCCCCUGACUCUGGGAUAAGCGCUGGAAACGGCGUCUAAUACUGGAUAUGUGACGUGACCGCAUGGUCUGCGUCUGGAAAGAAUUUCGGUUGGGGAUGGGCUCGCGGCCUAUCAGCUUGUUGGUGAGGUAAUGGCUCACCAAGGCGUCGACGGGUAGCCGGCCUGAGAGGGUGACCGGCCACACUGGGACUGAGACACGGCCCAGACUCCUACGGGAGGCAGCAGUGGGGAAUAUUGCACAAUGGGCGCAAGCCUGAUGCAGCAACGCCGCGUGAGGGACGACGGCCUUCGGGUUGUAAACCUCUUUUAGCAGGGAAGAAGCGAAAGUGACGGUACCUGCAGAAAAAGCGCCGGCUAACUACGUGCCAGCAGCCGCGGUAAUACGUAGGGCGCAAGCGUUAUCCGGAAUUAUUGGGCGUAAAGAGCUCGUAGGCGGUUUGUCGCGUCUGCUGUGAAAUCCGGAGGCUCAACCUCCGGCCUGCAGUGGGUACGGGCAGACUAGAGUGCGGUAGGGGAGAUUGGAAUUCCUGGUGUAGCGGUGGAAUGCGCAGAUAUCAGGAGGAACACCGAUGGCGAAGGCAGAUCUCUGGGCCGUAACUGACGCUGAGGAGCGAAAGGGUGGGGAGCAAACAGGCUUAGAUACCCUGGUAGUCCACCCCGUAAACGUUGGGAACUAGUUGUGGGGUCCAUUCCACGGAUUCCGUGACGCAGCUAACGCAUUAAGUUCCCCGCCUGGGGAGUACGGCCGCAAGGCUAAAACUCAAAGGAAUUGACGGGGACCCGCACAAGCGGCGGAACAUGCGGAUUAAUUCGAUGCAACGCGAAAAACCUUACCAAGGCUUGACAUAUACGAGAACGGGCCAGAAAUGGUCAACUCUUUG